rnacentral:rRNA from 1 species
AGUGAACGCUGGCGGUAGGCCUAACACAUGCAAGUCGAACGGCAGCACAGUAAGAGCUUGCUCUUACGGGUGGCGAGUGGCGGACGGGUGAGGAAUACAUCGGAAUCUACUUUUUCGUGGGGGAUAACGUAGGGAAACUUACGCUAAUACCGCAUACGACCUACCGGUGAAAGCAGGGGAUCUUCGGACCUUGCGCGAUUGAAUGAGCCGAUGUCGGAUUAGCUAGUUGGCGGGGUAAAGGCCCACCAAGGCGACGAUCCGUAGCUGGUCUGAGAGGAUGAUCAGCCACACUGGAACUGAGACACGGUCCAGACUCCUGCGGGAGGCAGCAGUGGGGAAUAUUGGACAAAGGGCGCAAGCCUGAUCCAGCCAUACCGCGUGGGUGAAGGAGGCCUUCGGGUUGUAAAGCCCUUUUGUUGGGAAAGAAAAGCAGCAGGUUAAUACCCCGCUGUUCUGACGGUACCCAAAGAAUAAGCACCGGCUAACUUCGUG